rnacentral:rRNA from 1 species
UGUUCGGAUUUACUGGGCGUAAAGAGUCUGUAGGCGGCGGGGUAAGUCAGAUGUGAAUCCCGGGGCUCAACCCCGGAACUGCAUCCGAUACUGCCUUGCUUGAGUAUUGGAGGGGAGUCUGGAAUUCUCGGUGUAGCAGUGAAAUGCGUAGAUAUCGAGAGGAACACUAGUGGCGAAGGCGAGACUCCGGACAAUUACUGACGCUGAGAGACGAAGGUCAGGGGAGCGAAAAGGAUUAGAUACCCUUGUAGUCCUGACAGUAAACGGUGCACGCUUGGUGUGGGAAGGUUCGACCCUUUCUGUGCCGGAGCUAACGCGUUAAGCGUGCCGCCUGGGGAGUACGGUCGCAAGAUUAAAACUCAAAGAAAUUGACGGGGACCCGCACAAGCGGUGGAGCAUGUGGCUUAAUUCGAUGCAACGCGAAGAACCUUACCUGGGCUUGACAUGGUAGUCGUAGACUUGUGAAAGCUUGUCGUCACUUCGGGUGGACUAUCACAGGUGCUGCAUGGCUGUCGUCAGCUCGUGUCGUGAGAUGUUGGGUUAAGUCCCGUAACGAGCGCAACCCCUAUGAACUGUUGCCAGCGGGUAAUGCCGGGGACUCUGUUCAGACUGCCCAGAUUAACUGGGAGGAAGGAGGGGAUGACGUCAAGUCAGUAUGGCCCUUACGCCCAGGGCUGCACACGUGCUACAAUGUCCAGUACAAUGUGAACCAAUACCGUGAGGUGGAGGAAAUCGUCAAAACUGGGCUCAGUUCGGAUUGUAGGCUGCAACUCGCCUACAUGAAGUUGGAAUCGCUAGUAAUGCUGCAUCAGCUACGGCAGCGUGAAUACGUUCCCGGGUCUUGUACACACCGCCCGUCACAUCAUGGAAGCCGCUCGCACCCGAAGUGCCUCCACCAAGGAGGUCCUAAGGUGUAGGUGGUAACUGGGAUGAAGUCGUAACAAGGUAACC